UGCAGUCGGACGGGAUUGAGGAGCUUGCUUCUCAUGAGAGUGGCGCACGGGUGCGUAACACGUAUGUAACCUACCUUGUUCAGGGGGAUAGCCUCUCGAAAGAGAGAUUAACACCGCAUAAAAUCAAUUUAUGGCAUCAUAGAAUGAUCAAAUAUUUAUAGGAACAAGAUGGGCAUGCGGAACAUUAGCUAGUUGGUAAGGUAACGGCUUACCAAGGCUACGAUGUUUAGGGGAUCUGAGAGGAUGACCCCCCACACUGGUACUGAGACACGGACCAGACUCCUACGGGAGGCAGCAGUAAGGAAUAUUGGUCAAUGGACGCAAGUCUGAACCAGCCAUGCCGCGUGCAGGAAGACGGCCCUACGGGUUGUAAACUGCUUUUGUACCGGAAUAAACCUUUUCACGUGUGAGAAGCUGAAUGUACGGUAAGAAUAAGGAUCGGCUAACUCCGUGCCAGCAGCCGCGGUAAUACGGAGGAUCCAAGCGUUAUCCGGAUUUAUUGGGUUUAAAGGGUGCGUAGGUGGCCUAUUAAGUCAGGGGUGAAAGACGGUAGCUUAACUAUCGCAGUGCCUUUGAUACUGAUGGGCUUGAAUACACUUGAGGUAGGCGGAAUGUGACAAGUAGCGGUGAAAUGCAUAGAUAUGUCACAGAACACCAAUUGCGAAGGCAGCUUACUAAAGUGUUAUUGACACUGAGGCACGAAAGCGUGGGGAUCAAACAGGAUUAGAUACCCUGGUAGUCCACGCCCUAAACGAUGAAUACUCGAUGUUGGCGAUAUACGGUCAGCGUCUAAGCGAAAGCGUUAAGUAUUCCGCCUGGGGAGUACGCCCGCAAGGGUGAAACUCAAAGGAAUUGACGGGGGCCCGCACAAGCGGAGGA
rnacentral:rRNA from 1 species